GAUGAACGCUGGCGGCGUGCCUAAUACAUGCAAGUCGAGCGAACAGACGAGGAGCUGUCUCCUUUGACGUUAUCGGCGGACGGGUGAGUAACACGUAGUUAACCUACCUAUAAGACUGGGAUAACUUCGGGAAACCGUGUCUAAUACCGGAUAAUAUUUCGACCCUCAUUGUUCGCUCGUGAAAUUUGGUUUUUCUUUCACUUAUAGAUUGACAUGCGCCGGAUUAGUUAGUUGGUAAGGUAAAGGCUUACCAAGGCAACGAUACGUACCCGCCCUGAAAGGGAGAUCGGAUACAUGGGCAGAGAGACAGAGCAGAGACACUUGCGGGGGGCAGCAGUCCGGAAUCUUACGCGAUGGGGGAAAGGCUAACGUAGCACAGUCGGGGGAAGGAUGAAGGUGUAAGGAUGGGAGAGCGAUGAUAGUCUGGAAGAAGUAACGUUCAAGUAACUGUGAAGGUCUUGACAGUACCUAGACAGAAAGCCACGGCUAACUACGUG
rnacentral:rRNA from 1 species